rnacentral:lncRNA from 1 species
AGAAAAGCUCAAGAUCAGACAGAUUCUCAGCCAAGUUCUACAAGACUUUCAAAGAAAAAAUUUUAACACCAAUAUUCCUCAAAUUAUUCCAUGGAAUAGAAAAGGAGGAAACCCUUCCAAACUCAUUCUAUGAAGCUAGUAUCACCCUGAUACCAAAACGAAUCAGAUAAAGACACAUCAAGGAAAGAAAUCAGACCAAUAUCCCUGAUGAAUAUAGAUGCAAAACUUCUCAAUAAAAUUCUGACAAAUUGCAUACAAAAACAUAUUAAAAAGACAGUGCACCACGAUUGAGUGGGGUUCAUCCCAGGGAUGCAAGGUUGGUUCAACAUACAGAAAUCAAUAAACAUAAUUCAUCACAUCAAUAGACUUAAAGACAAGAAUCGCAUGAUUAUCUCAAUAGAUGCAGAAAAAGCAUUCAACAAAAUACAGUACCCUUUCAUGUUUAAAACACUAGAAAAACUAGGGAUAUUAGGAAUGUACCUCAACAUUGUAAAAGCUAUAUAUGCUAAACCUAGGGCCAACA